rnacentral:rRNA from 1 species
UACGUAGGGGGCUAGCGUUGUCCGGAAUCAUUGGGCGUAAAGCGCGUGUAGGCGGUCCGGUAAGUCCGCUGUGAAAGUCGGGGGCUCAACCCUCGAAUGCCGGUGGAUACUGUCGGGCUAGAGUGCGGAAGAGGCGAGUGGAAUUCCUGGUGUAGCGGUGAAAUGCGCAGAUAUCAGGAGGAACACCAAUUGCGAAGGCAGCUCGCUGGCCCGGUACUGACGCUGAGGUGCGAAAGCGUGGGGGAGCAAACAGG